AGUGAACGCUGGCGGCAGGCCUAAUACAUGCAAGUCGAACGGCAGCACAGCAGAGCUUGCUCUGUGGGUGGCGAGUGGCGGACGGGUGAGGAAUACGUGGGAAUCUGCCCAGUCGUGGGGGAUAACGUAGGGAAACUUACGCUAAUACCGCAUGCGCCCUUCGGGGGAAAGCCGGGGACCUUCGGGCCUGGCGCGAUUGGAUGAGCCCACGUCGGAUUAGCUAGUUGGCGGGGUAAAGGCCCACCAAGGCGACGAUCCGUAGCUGGUCUGAGAGGAUGAUCAGCCACACUGGAACUGAGACACGGUCCAGACUCCUACGGGAGGCAGCAGUAGGGAAUAUUGGACAAUGGGCGCAAGCCUGAUCCAGCCAUGCCGCGUGUAUGAAGAAGGCCUUC
rnacentral:rRNA from 1 species